rnacentral:rRNA from 1 species
CCUACGGGCGGCUGCAGUGGGGAAUUUUGGACAAUGGGCGCAAGCCUGAUCCAGCCAUGCCGCGUGAGUGAAGAAGGCCUUCGGGUUGUAAAGCUCUUUCAGACGGAAAGAAAUCGGGCGGGCCAAUACCCUGCCUGGAUGACGGUACUGUCAGAAGAAGCACCGGCUAACUACGUGCCAGCAGCCGCGGUAAUACGUAGGGUGCGAGCGUUAAUCGGAAUUACUGGGCGUAAAGCGUGCGCAGGCGGUUGUGUAAGACAGGUGUGAAAUCCCCGGGCUUAACCUGGGAACUGCGCUUGUGACUGCACGGCUAGAGUACGGCAGAGGGGGGUGGAAUUCCACGUGUAGCAGUGAAAUGCGUAGAGAUGUGGAGGAACACCGAUGGCGAAGGCAGCCCCCUGGGCCGAUACUGACGCUCAUGCACGAAAGCGUGGGGAGCAAACAGGAUUAGAUACCCGUGUAGUCAUC